rnacentral:rRNA from 1 species
UGGGGAAUCUUGGACAAUGGGGGCAACCCUGAUCCAGCGACGCCGCGUGGGUGAAGAAGGCCUUCGGGUUGUAAAGCCCUUUCACCGGGGACGAUGAUGACGGUACCCGGAGAAGAAGCACCGGCUAACUCCGUGCCAGCAGCCGCGGUAAGACGGAGGGUGCUAGCGUUGUUCGGAAUCACUGGGCGUAAAGGGCGCGUAGGCGGCUGGGACAGUCGGCUGUGAAAGCCCGGGGCUCAACCCCGGAGGUGCAGCCGAGACUGCCCGGCUGGAGGCCGGAAGAGGAGGGUGGAAUACCCAGUGUAGAGGUGAAAUUCGUAGAUAUUGGGUGGAACACCGGUGGCGAAAGCGGCUCUCUGGUCCGGACCUGACGCUGAGGCGCGAAAGCGUGGGGAGCAAACAGGAUUAGAUACCCCCGUAGUCC